AACUUGAGCAGUCAGUUUGUCCAUAAGGUAGGUAUCUGUGAAGAACUGAACUUCGUCAUGGGUUCUUGGAGGGGCCUGCUGGCCAACCUUUUGCCUCAGGACUAUGGGCCCUGCAAUAUACCUUGCCCAAUGCACUUGAAAAGGCCCUGUUCAUGUGAGUUAUGUACUUUUGUACUCCAGACAGAGAGACCCACCGUUAGCCCUGAUUCCCUGGAACUGUUU